rnacentral:tRNA from 2 species
GGAAGGGUAGCGAAGAGGCUAAACGCAGCGGACUGUAAAUCCGCUCCUUCGGGUUCGGGGGUUCGAAUCCCUCCCCUUCCA